CGGUGGGCCUGCGUGCGGGGCCUUACCCCGCAGCCCGCCGCGUGCGGGCCGUUCCCCUCGGCCGACGCGGUGCCCGCGGUGCGCCCGCCACCUGGCUGGCACCUGGAAGAGCCUGUGCUUUCUGAGCACACACCUGUAAUCUUCAGUAGACUACCCUUCAGCCAUACCUACAUACAACUGGAGGUGCCAGGGAGCUUGUGUCUCUCAAAGGGCAGCCUGCUGACAGUGACUGACUGGCAAGGGAGUGAAAGCCCAGUUCCUUACCCGCAAGACAAGAUCCAUCUCCAUAAGCUCAGAGCCUUGUAAAGGGUGGCUAUCCAGCAAACUUUUAAAUGAGUGAACACAUUUUACAGGAAGAAAGUUCCCAGUAGGAAUUAAACCUCAAGGGAAAGGAGUCCAAAAGAAAAACAGCAACAAUCUACUUUGAAUGGGAUCUAAAAGUUUGUUUCGCGUUCUAACACUCUGGAAAGAGAGUAAAGGGGAAAGACAGGAGACACUUGAACGCAAGGAGAAAGACAAGCCGCAGCUGUAAGUCGGACAUAGGCUAUCUCACACUAAAAAUAAACUUCAAUUUA